GUGUUUUUCUUUCGCUGCUCUGGUCCUCCUUAUCCACUUGAAAUGCCAUGCUUCUCAAAACUUCGAAACGUCUUCAGCUGAAACGCUUCUCCACUAGGGAUUUCAACUGUGCUGUUGUGUCAUCCCAGCAAGUGAAGACCCCAUUCUACCUUGAGCCACCCUGGCCAUUAGUGGAUUUGUCUGUCACAAUGCCACAAGAGCUUUAGAGGUCAGGCAUUGAUGUUCGGUGAGGAGGUCUGGGGUGCAGUCAGUGUUCCAGUCCAAUGGGAUUGAGGUCCGGUCUCUGAGCUGGACACUAAAGUUCUUCUGCACCAACCUUGGCAAACCAUGUUUUCAUGGAGGGGCAUGUGUCAUGCUGGAACAUGCUUGGGUCUCUUUGAGCCAGU